GGGUGGUUUGCUUAGGCGCAGACGGGGAAGCGGAGCCAACAUGCCAGUGGCCCGGAGCUGGGUUUGUCGCAAAACUUAUGUGACCCCGCGGAGACCCUUCGAGAAAUCUCGUCUCGACCAAGAGCUGAAGCUGAUCGGCGAGUAUGGGCUCCGGAACAAACGUGAGGUCUGGAGGGUCAAAUUUACCCUGGCCAAGAUCCGCAAGGCCGCCCGGGAACUGCUGACGCUUGAUGAGAAGGACCCACGGCGUCUGUUCGAAGGCAACGCCCUGCUGCGGCGGCUGGUCCGCAUUGGGGUGCUGGAUGAGGGCAAGAUGAAGCUGGAUUACAUCCUGGGCCUGAAGAUAGAGGAUUUCUUAGAGAGACGCCUGCAGACCCAGGUCUUCAAGCUGGGCUUGGCCAAGUCCAUCCACCACGCUCGCGUGCUGAUCCGCCAGCGCCAUAUCAGGGUCCGCAAGCAGGUGGUGAACAUCCCGUCCUUCAUUGUCCGCCUGGAUUCCCAGAAGCACAUCGACUUCUCUCUGCGCUCUCCCUACGGGGGUGGCCGCCCGGGCCGCGUGAAGAGGAAGAAUGCCAAGAAGGGCCAGGGUGGGGCUGGGGCUGGAGACGACGAGGAGGAGGAUUAAGUCCACCUGUCCCUCCUGGGCUGCUGGAUUGUCUCGUUUUCCUGCCAAAUAAACAGGAUCAG
rnacentral:misc_RNA from 1 species